CCUACGGGAGGCAGCAGUGAGGAAUAUUGGUCAAUGGACGAGAGUCUGAACCAGCCAAGUAGCGUGAAGGAUGACUGCCCUAUGGGUUGUAAACUUCUUUUAUAUGGGAAUAAAACGUUCCACGUGUGGGAUUUUGUAUGUACCAUAUGAAUAAGGAUCGGCUAACUCCGUGCCAGCAGCCGCGGUAAUACGGAGGAUCCGAGCGUUAUCCGGAUUUAUUGGGUUUAAAGGGAGCGUAGGUGGAUUGUUAAGUCAGUUGUGAAAGUUUGCGGCUCAACCGUAAAAUUGCAGUUGAAACUGGCAGUCUUGAGUACAGUAGAGGUGGGCGGAAUGCGUGGUGUAGCGGUGAAAUGCUUAGAUAUCACGCAGAACUCCGAUUGCGAAGGCAGUUCACUGGACUGCAACUGACACUGAGGCUCGAAAGUGUGGGUAUCAAACAGGAUUAGAUACCCUUGUAGUC
rnacentral:rRNA from 1 species